rnacentral:tRNA from 1 species
GCCCUAGUAGUAUAUCGCCAUAUUACAGUAAACUGCAACUUUACCUAAGCACCUCGCCAUGGGUU